rnacentral:rRNA from 1 species
UACGUAGGGGGCUAGCGUUGUCCGGAUUUAUUGGGCGUAAAGGGCGCGUAGGCGGCCUGGCAAGUGGAAGGUGAAAUCCCUCGGCUUAACCGAGGAACUGCCCUCCAAACUGCUUGGCUUGAGUCCGGGAGAGGUGAGUGGAAUUCCCAGUGUAGCGGUGAAAUGCGUAGAUAUUGGGAGGAACACCAGUGGCGAAGGCGGCUCACUGGACCGGAACUGACGCUGAGGCGCGAAAGCGUGGGGAGCAAACGGG